rnacentral:rRNA from 1 species
AAUAGAUACCCAGGUAGUCCAUGCCGUAAACGUUGGGCGCUAGAUGUGGGGACCAUUCCACGGUUUCCGUGUCGCAGCUAACGCAUUAAGCGCCCCGCCUGGGGAGUACGGCCGCAAGGCUAAAACUCAAAGGAAUUGACGGGGGCCCGCACAAGCGGCGGAGCAUGCGGAUUAAUUCGAUGUAACGCGAAGAACCUUACCAAGGCUUGACAUAUACGAGAACGCUCUAGAAAUAGAGAACUCUUUGGACACUCGUAUACAGGUGGUGCAUGGUUGUCGUCAGCUCGUGUCGUGAGAUGUUGGGUUAAGUCCCGCAACGAGCGCAACCCUCGUUCUAUGUUGCCAGCGGUUCGGCCGGGUAACUCAUAGGAGACUGCCGGGGUCAACUCGGAGGAAGGUGGGGAUGACGUCAAAUCAUCAUGCCCCUUAUGUCUUGGGCUUCACGCAUGCUACAAUGGCCGGUACAAAGGGCUGCAAUACCGUAAGGUGGAGCGAAUCCCGAAAAAGCCGGUCUCAGUUCGGAUUGAGGUCUGCAACUCGUACC